rnacentral:rRNA from 1 species
GGGUGCGAUCAUACCAGCACUAAUGCACCGGAUCCCAUCAGAACUCCGAAGUUAAACGUGCUUGGGCGAGAGUAUUACUAAGAUCGGUGACCUCUUGGGAAGUCCUCGUGUUGCACCCC